rnacentral:rRNA from 1 species
AGCGAACGUUAGCGGCACGCCUAACACAUGCAAGUCGCACGAGAAAGGGAGCAAUCCUGAGUAGAGUGGCGCACGGGUGCGUAACACGUAGAUAACCUGCCCUUUGGAGGGGGAUAACGUUCCGAAAGGAGCGCUAAUACCGCAUACAGCAAGAGCCGGUUUGCCGGUUUUUGGCAAAGGUAGGGACCCGCAAGGGCCUACCGCCAGAGGAGGGGUCUGCGGCCCAUCAGCUAGUUGGUGAGGUAAUGGCUCACCAAGGCAGAGACGGGUAGCUGGUCUGAGAGGAUGAUCAGCCACACUGGUACUGGAACACGGACCAGACUCCUACGGGAGGCAGCAGUGGGGAAUCUUGGUCAAUGGGCGCAAGCCUGAACCAGCGAUGCCGCGUGAGUGAUGAAGGCCUUGGUUGUAAG